rnacentral:rRNA from 1 species
GAGUUUGAUCCUGGCUCAGGACGAACGCUGGCGGCGUGCCUAACACAUGCAAGUCAGGGAGAAAGGAGUAGCAAUACUCCGAGUAAACCGGCGAACGGGUGAGUAACACGUAGGCAACCUUCCUCACGAACGGGGAUAACUCCGGGAAACCGAAGCUAAUACCCGAUGACAUCCCAGGGGAGCAUUUCCCAGGGAUCAAAGGCCCGCAAGGGUGUCGUGAGAUGGGCCUGCGUCCCAUUAGAUAGUUGGCGGGGUAAAAGCCCACCAAGUCCGCGAUGGGUAGCUGGUCUGAGAGGACGACCAGUCACACUGGAACUGAGACACGGUCCAGACUUCUACGGAAGGCAGCAGUGAGGAAUAUUGCUCAAUGGGCGAAAGCCUGAAGCAGCGACGCCGCGUGAAGGAUGAAAUCCGUUAGGAUGUAAACUUCUUUUGCAGGGGAAGAACGCCCCGAUUAUCGGGAGUGACGGUACCUUGCGAAUAAGCACCGGCCAACUACGUGCCAGCAGCCGCGGUAAUACGUAGGGUGCGAGCGUUGUCCGGAAUUACUGGGUGUAAAGGGUCCGUAGGCGGGCGAGCAAGUCGGUGGUGAAAGUUCACGGCCCAACCGUGAAAUUGCCAUCGAUACUACUUGUCUUGAGUCCGAGAGAGGAUGAUGGAAUUCAUGGUGUAGCAGUGAAAUGCGUAGAGAUCAUGAAGAACACCAGUAGCGAAGGCGGUCAUCUGGCUCGGUACUGACGCUGAGGGACGAAAGCGUGGGGAGCAAACAGGAUUAGAUACCCUGGUAGUCCACGCCUUAAACGAUGGAUGUUCGGUGUCGCGGUUCAGGCUGCCGUGCCGUAGCUAACGUGUUAAGUGCCCCGCCUGGGGAGUACGGCCGCAAGGCUGAAACUCAAAGGAAUUGACGGGGGCCCGCACAAGCGGUGGAGCAUGUGGUUUAAUUCGACGCAACGCGAAGAACCUUACCUGGGUUUGAACUGCUGCGGACAGCCCUAGAAACAGGGUCUUGUAGCAAUACGCACUUGUACAGGUGCUGCAUGGCUGUCGUCAGCUCGUGCCGUGAGAUGUUAGGUUAAGUCCUGCAACGAGCGCAACCCCUACACUUAGUUGCCAUCAGGUAAUGCUGGGCACUCUAAGUGGACUGCCUACGCAAGUAGUGAGGAAGGUGGGGAUGACGUCAAGUCCUCAUGGCCCUUACACCCAGGGCUACACACGUGCUACAAUGGUUGGUACAAAGGGCUGCGAAGCCGCAAGGUGAAGCCAAUCCCAAAAAACCAACCUCAGUUCGGAUUGGGGUCUGCAAUUCGACCCCAUGAAGCUGGAAUUGCUAGUAAUCGUGGAUCAGCACGCCACGGUGAUACGUUCCCGGGCAUUGUACACAC